GUUCUCCUCCUGGGGGGCUAUAGGUCACGUUCUCCUCCUAGGGGGGCUAUAGGUCACGUUCUCCUCCUAGGGGGGCUAUAGGUCACGUCCUCCUCCUGGGGUGCUAUAGGUCACGUCCUCCUCCUGGGGGGCUAUAGGUCACGUUUCUCCUCCUGGGGGGCUAUAGGUCACGUCCUCCUCCUGGGGGGCUAUAGGUCACGUUUCACCUCCUAGGGGGGCUAUAGGUCACGUUUCUCCUCCUGGGGGGCUAUAGGUCACGUUCCUCCUCCUGGGGGGCUAUAGGUCACGCUCCUCCUGGGGGGCUAUAGGUCACGUUCUCCUCCUAGGGGGGCUAUAGGUCACGUUUCUCCUCCUGGGGGGGCUAUAGGUCACGUUUCUCCUCCCUAGGGGGGCUAUAGGUCACGUUCAUCCUCCUAGGGGGGCUAUAGGUCACGUUCAUCCUCCUAGGGGGGCUAUAGGUCACGUUUCUCCUCCUGGGGGCUAUAGGUCACGUUUCUCCUCCCUAGGGGGGCUAUAGGUCACGUUUCUCCUCCUGGGGGGCUAUAGGUCACGUUUCUCCUCCCUAGGGGCUAUAGGGCAGGAUGACCCUCCCUCCCUAAGGGGGGCUAUAGGCCAGGAUUAGCCACGUUUAGGAGGCAAAGGCCCCCUUGAUCCCGGAUCUCAAACAGAAAAAUGUGUCCUAUUUCCCGCCCUUUG
rnacentral:lncRNA from 1 species